rnacentral:rRNA from 1 species
UAGUCAUAUGCUUGUCUCAAAGAUUAAGCCAUGCAUGUCUAAGCACAAGCCGAUUAAUGGUGAAGCCGCGAAUGGCUCAUUACAACAGCCAUAGUUUCUUAGAUCUCACUUUUCUACUUGGAUAACUGUGGUAAUUCUAGAGCUAAUACACGCAAACAAGCUCAGACCUUACGGAAUGAGCGCAUUUAUUAGAACAAAAACCAAUCGGGCUUCGGCCCGUCAUUUGGUGAAUCUGAAUAACUUUGCUGAUCGCACGGUCAUCGUACCGGCGACGUAUCUUUCAAAUGUCUGCCUUAUCAACUUUCGAUGGUAGUUUAUGCGCCUACCAUGGUUGUAACGGGUAACGGAGAAUAAGGGUUCGACUCCGGAGAGGGAGCCUGAGAAAUGGCUACCACAUCCAAGGAAGGCAGCAGGCACGCAAAUUACCCACUCCCGGCACGGGGAGGUAGUGACGAAAAAUAACGAGACGGCUCGCUAUGCGGUCCGUCAUCGGAAUGGGUACAAUUUAAAUCCUUUAACGAGGAUCUAUU